CCUACGGGAGGCAGCAGUGAGGAAUAUUGGUCAAUGGACGAGAGUCUGAACCAGCCAAGUAGCGUGAAGGAUGACUGCCCUAUGGGUUGUAAACUUCUUUUAUAUGGGAAUAAACUGUUCCACGUGUGGGAUUUUGUAUGUACCAUAUGAAUAAGGAUCGGCUAACUCCGUGCCAGCAGCCGCGGUAAUACGGAGGAUCCGAGCGUUAUCCGGAUUUAUUGGGUUUAAAGGGAGCGUAGGUGGAUUGUUAAGUGAGUUGUGAAAGUUUGCGGCUCAACCGUAAAAUUGCAGUUGAAACUGGCAGUCUUGAGUACAGUAGAGGUAGGCGGAAUUCGUGGUGUAGCGGUGAAAUGCUUAGAUAUCACGAAGAACUCCGAUUGCGAAGGCAGUUCACUGGACUGCAACUGACACUGAGGCUCGAAAGUGUGGGUAUCAAACAGGAUUAGAUACCCUAGUAGUC
rnacentral:rRNA from 1 species